UCAAUAUAUGUUUAUUGAUGAAUUAUAGAAUACUUUCUUGAAACACAAUUAUUUACCAUUUGAAAUCAAUGAAAAGCUCUAUUUUUAGGGUUAACAUACUAAUAGCUAUUUAAGUAAAUCUAUUUUUUUCACAAUAUCCCUCCACACAAAACAUUAAUAGUUUCUUAUCAUCCAGCAUUGUUUGAUGGUAUCUAUAUAGUCCACUUUUUGGUCAUUCAGCACAGAACUUUGACAUUAUUGUGGUUUCAAUAUCUUUUGGUAUUUAAAAGAACUUCAAAUCAUUGACUGAGUGAUGAAAAUAAUAACUGAUCCAACUUUUGUCUUUGAAUUUAUUCUGGUCUUGUAUCUAUGUUUUCUCCAUUUAUUCUAGGUGAUGAAUUUCAAUCCUUCUGAAA
rnacentral:lncRNA from 1 species